rnacentral:miRNA from 1 species
UAAAUGCAUCACCUGGAAUGAGU